rnacentral:rRNA from 1 species
UGGGGAAUUUUGGACAAUGGGCAGCAAGCCUGAUCCAGCAAUGCCGCGUGGGUGAAGAAGGCCUGCGGGUUGUAAAGCCCUUUAAGCAGGAAAGAAAGGUGGGGUGCGAAGACCAUCCCACUGCUGACGUUACUGCAGAAUAAGCACCGGCUAACUCCGUG